rnacentral:rRNA from 1 species
CGAACGCUGGCGGCGUGGAUAAGACAUGCAAGUCGGACGCUUGAUUUUGUAGCAAUAUGAGGAUACGGGAGUGGCGAAAGGGUGCGUAACACGUGGGUAAUUUGUCUGAGAGUUCAGGAUAAUUCGCUGAAAGGCGGAGUAAUACUGGAUGUGGAUAUUGGUUGGGAACAGCUGAUAUCUAAAGCCGGGGACCGCAAGGCCUGGUGCUCUUAGGUAAGCCCGCGACCUAUCAGCUAGUUGGUGAGGUAAGAGCCCACCAAGGCGGAGACGGGUAGCUGGUCUGAGAGGACGACCAGCCACACUGGAACUGAGACACGGUCCAGACACCUACGGGUGGCAGCAGUCGAGAAUUUUUCUCAAUGGGGGAAACCCUGAAGGAGCGACGCCGCGUGGGGGAUGAAAGGGCUUCGGCUCGUAAACCCCUGUCAUUUGUGAGCAAGUGUUAUUGUUUAAGAGAUGAUGACAUUGAUAGUAGCAAAAGAGGAAGGGACGGCUAACUCUGUGCCAGCCGCCGC